rnacentral:rRNA from 1 species
ACCCGCUGAAUUUAAGCAUAUAAGUAAGCGGUGGAAAAGGAACCAAAUGGGAUUUCUUUAGUAAUUGCGAAUGAACAAGGAUGUGCUCAGCCUGACAAAUGAAGCACUUGAGCUUUGAAUUGUGUUUUGCAAUGUAUCACUAGUGGAGGUUCAGGUGCAAGCCUAUUGAAAGAUAGCGUCGUUGAGGGUGAGAAUCCUUUUAAUCACUUGUGGUCCCCUGUGCACGGUCUACAUUUGGUGAAUCACAUUCCUCGACAUUGGAAUGCAAAUGGGGUGGUAAAUUUCAUUCAAGGGCAAAUAUAUUAUUGAGCCUGAUAGUGGACAAGUACCAUGAGGGAAAUAUGAAAAGGAUUUUGAAAAGAAAAUUAAAAGAGUUUGCAAUUGCUGAACAGAAAGCAAGCAGAAGGUUUUUGUUUUGGUGAGAUUGUUGCAAAUGCAUUUGCAUCUGUUGCUGAAUGUGUGUGCAAUGGUUCCUGCCUUGGGUGCUAAUUUCAAUUUCGCAUAUCAUUACCUUUGCUUGUGAAAUGUAAAAUAUUUGCAAGUAUUGGAUUGCAUGUGCACGCAAUGACUUGUGGUUUGGCACAGUGCUUGCUUAUGAGUUAAUGUUCAUGUGCUCUGUCAAUACAUUAUUGUGAAUGCACACACAUGUCAACCACUGCAAUUGGCAAAUGGUUUCUGCUUGACCCGUCUUGAAACACGGACCAAGGAGUCUAACAGAUGUGCAAGUUUUUGGGUCUCCAUGCCCUUUUGCGCAAUGAAAGUGUUUGCUGUAAUUUGUGCACCAGCAGCUGACCAAUUAGCAGACAGAGGUUUGAGUUUGAGCAUAUCUAUUAGGACCCGAAAGAUGGUGAACUAUGCCUGAACAGAACGAAUUCAGAGGAAACUCUGAUGGAGGUUCGUAUCGAUACUGACGUGCAAAUCGUUCGUCAUACUUGGGUAUAGGGGCGAAAGACUAAUCGAACCAUCUAGUAGCUGGUUCCCUCCGA